GGAUCCAGACUUUGAUUAUGGCUCAGGAUGAACGCUAGCUACAGGCUUAACACAUGCAAGUCGAGGGGCAGCGGGAUUGAAGCUUGCUUCAAUUGCCGGCGACCGGCGCACGGGUGAGUAACGCGUAUCCAACCUUCCGUACACUCAGGGAUAGCCUUUCGAAAGAAAGAUUAAUACCUGAUGGUAUGAUGAGAUUGCAUGAUAGCAUCAUUAAAGAUUUAUCGGUGUACGAUGGGGAUGCGUUCCAUUAGGUAGUAGGCGGGGUAACGGCCCACCUAGCCAACGAUGGAUAGGGGUUCUGAGAGGAAGGUCCCCCACAUUGGAACUGAGACACGGUCCAAACUCCUACGGGAGGCAGCAGUGAGGAAUAUUGGUCAAUGGACGAGAGUCUGAACCAGCCAAGUAGCGUGAAGGAUGAAGGUCCUACGGAUUGUAAACUUCUUUUAUAAGGGAAUAAACCCUCCCACGUGUGGGAGCUUGUAUGUACCUUAUGAAUAAGCAUCGGCUAACUCCGUGCCAGCAGCCGCGGUAAUACGGAGGAUGCGAGCGUUAUCCGGAUUUAUUGGGUUUAAAGGGAGCGCAGACGGGUCGUUAAGUCAGCUGUGAAAGUUUGGGGCUCAACCUUA
rnacentral:rRNA from 1 species